CAGUCGCCACGGGAAUACAGAGGGUGCAAGCGUUAAUCGGAUUUACUGGGCGUAAAGGGCGCGUAGGUGGUUAUUUAAGUGAGAUGUGAAAGCCCCGGGCUUAACCUGGGAACUGCAUCUUAUACUGGGUAACUGGAGUGCAGUAGAGGGUAGUGGAAUUUCCGGUGUAGCGGUGAAAUGCGUAGAUAUCGGAAGGAACACCAGUGGCGAAGGCGGCUACCUGGACUGAGACUGACACUGAGGCGCGAAAGCGUGGGGAGCAAACAGGAUUAGAUACCCCAGAGUCCCUGUCUCUUAUACA
rnacentral:rRNA from 1 species